rnacentral:rRNA from 1 species
UACGGGGGGGGCAAGCGUUGUUCGGAAUUACUGGGCGUAAAGGGCGCGUAGGCGGUUCGCUAAGUCGGAUGUGAAAACUCUGGGCUCAACCCAGAGCCUGCAUCCGAAACUGGCGGGCUAGAGUUCUGGAGGGGGUAGCGGAAUUCCUGGUGUAGCGGUGAAAUGCGUAGAUAUCAGGAGGAACACCAAUGGCGAAGGCAGCCUUCUGGGCCAACACUGACGCUCAUGCACGAAAGCGUGGGGAGCAAACAGG